ensembl:lincRNA
GCUGCGAUGCUGUUGCUGUAUUUUCAGUCUUAAGUAUCACCCACAGAUGACUUCUUAUGGGCCUGAGCUCGUCAGUCUCCUCCCCUUCUCAUCCCUUGGUACAUACAGUUGCUUCCCACCUCAAUCCUUCCGCUACCGUCAUAGUAAAAUUUUAUUUAGCUCAUUGCUCAGUGUUCAUAGUAGCAUAACUUUCUAAAGGCUCCUCAAAGCCACACCAUUCAAAUCACUACGAUCACUUUGCCUUUAUUACUAAUCUUUAUAAGUUCCUUGGAGCUAAUAAUUGCUUUAUUUUCCUUCACUUUAAUGUUUAUAUAUCCUUGAGGAUACAGGACAUUCAUAAGAACUUGCUUCGGUGAUAACGGAAAUUAAAACUAAGGCAACAGGACAAAUUUAUGAGCCAAAGAGUAGAAGAAAACAGAAGAAGGUGAAGGAGGGGGAGGAAAAAGGAAAGAGAUGGAAAAGAGGAAGGAGAAAGAGGGAGAAGGAAGGAGAGUGAGCGCGGGGGACUGAGGAGCAGAGAAGAGGGACGGAGUGUCAUUGGAAGACGACAGGUGAAGGGGACAAGUUCAGCUCACAGAACAGUACUGGCUUUCAUGCACCCCUGGGGUGGGCUAGGAAGUGGUCACUACGCACUGGGUCAUGAGCAUGGCAUUCACGGGAGGGGUUUCCUAGGGAAGGACCAGCUUCUAGUGAAAGAGAUACUGCUAUCCUGGAGACGUCAUAGUGCCUCUUUAUGUUGCAGUGUACCUGGUCCUUGCGCUAAGAGUAGGGAGAUAAGCAGAGGGACAAUCCAUGCGCUACUAGCAAGGGAAGGCUGGAAAAGGACAUCUCCUCACCUUCAAAAAAACACCAUUGUACACAUAAGCACCUCCAUGAGCUUACUUUCUAAUGCCACGUACACAAGUGCUUGCAGUGCAUGACUGGUGUCCUGACGUGCAUUCCCCUCCACCUCCUGUCAUGCUUUAGCAACAGCAUCACUGGUUCAAACCACCCCUGUGGAGUCCUGUUCCUGGGCUGCUCCACUGCAUUUCAGCCCAAGAGCCCAGAUGUGAAGCUCAGGCCUGAGGUUCAGAAGUUAAUCUUGAAAGUGCCAGGACAUCUGGAAGCCAUCGGUGUUUUCACCAAUCUUAUCACCACGUGGCAGUGAAUAGGCACAAGUGCCAUCACAGACCAGGAGCAAAAGGAUGUGACGUGAACACACAGCAACCUGCCCAGAAAAACUGUUGUUGGAGGAACAUGAUUUAACACAGGCCAAGUACAUAUAUAAAUAAAACCAAAAAGCUCUUGGAGUUGGGAGGGUGUAUGGCCUUUCUGCUUUAUACUGAUUAUACCAACUGGCUUUUCUAUAUCUGAAAAUAAAUAAAUUAGUAUAAACUUCUCAGAUGCUAUCGUUUAGAAUUCAUGCUAUUUGUGAAAUGUGCAGUGCACAUGCAGAUGAAUUUACCCUUUCCAUACAGUUCCAAUUAUUAGCAAAAUAAAACUAGAUAAGUGCAUUUUAUAAGCAUGGUGAACACGCCUUCCAUACUGGUUAUCGACAGUUGUCUAUAGCUAUUGAUUUUUAUUUUAAAAUUAUUAGAGAAAAUUAUGGGGCAAAAGAUGUGUGCUGAGCCUGAAAAUACGACCAAGAAUGACUCAUAUAGUAAAGACCACAUACGAAAACAGCUUCCCCAGACAAAGAGAGCUAAUCUUAGCAUUUUGUUUCAUAUAACAUUCUUAAUAUGAUUUUAUUCUGGAGAAAUUCCCAUCUCUAUUCUAGUUCUUUGAUGCCUUUUCCUAUUUGGAAAAUGUAAUUAAGCAAAGGAAUGAAAUAAAAGAUACAAAUAUUAUAAAAGAGAUGGAAGUAUUUACAAAUAG